rnacentral:tRNA from 3 species
GCCUUGAUGGUNAAAUGGUA